rnacentral:rRNA from 1 species
AUGGAGCCGCGGCCGCCGCCGUCGCCGUCGCCUUCUCCGGCGCCCCCCUCCUCCGCCGUGCGGGUCCUCUCCCGCGCGCCUCCCCCCGCCUCCGCCCCCUCCCCGGCCGCGACCGCUGCCUCGCCGCCGCACGACGGCGGCGUGGUCGUCGUCGGCUUCGUGGGCGGCCCCGGGAGCGCCGCCGCGCGCCUCGCGGACCGGAUCCUCGACGCCCCCGUCUUCUCCCCCGGCGGCUCGGCCAGGACCCUCGCCGGGGGCGUCAGGUACCACCGCGACGGGGACAAGAGGAUGGUCUUCCUCCACCUCGCCUCCCCGCCCCCGCCCCCGCCGCGGGAUGCGGGCGGCGGGAGCACCGGCGACCUCCCGGAGAUACUCUUCAUGUUCUCGGUAUGCCAUGUAAUAAUAUUUCUCCAAGAAGGCUUCCGGUUCGACACGCAGAUCUUGAAGAGUUUUAGGCUGCUGCAAUCUUCGAAGCAUGCUUUUGCACCAUUUGUGAGAUCACUAGUAGCACCGGGAACACCAUCCAAAGCUGCCCCUUCUGGCACACCGGGGACACCAUCCAAAGCUGCCCCUUCUGGCACACCGGGGACACCAUCCAAAGCUACCCCUUCUGGCACCCCGACUCGGCCUACCCGCAGGGCUUCAUCAAUCUCCCCUCCGGCACGCCGUGGAGGCCAUUCGGGCCGCCAGCCCUCAGCCAUCUCGUUGAUGUCAGGAACCGGUUCGCAUGCUUCUGUGUUGCCAGGCCAAUGCAUCCCUGUUGUCCUCUUUGUCUUUGAGGAUGAUAUCAUUGAUGGUCCAAGUGCUGCAACAAGUUUGGAUGAUACGGGGGAGACAUCUUCAUCAAAUCAGGCUUCUGGCACUUCAAAAGGUUCUGGCUCAGUGGUAAUGCUCGCCCGACCUGCCAGCAAAACUGAGGGUAGUUUCACAAAGAAGCUGCAUUUGUCUCUGGAAGGUCAGAUCCGGUUGUUGCUGAAGAGGUGCCGGACACUUACCGGUCUGGAGUCGUCAGGGCAUAAUGGUCCAAGGGGUGCUGGUAACGUGAGCCAUAUUCCUUUGUUCUCACUUGAUGCAUCCAGAGUUGUUGCCCUGUUGGACCGCUCAAUUAAUAAGAAACGGGAGCCACUGGAUAUCAUCGCAGGACUGUUUGAAGAUUCUUUCAGCUCCAAGUCAUCGUUGGAUGUCGCUUCAUUAGAAAAUAACUGCCAAUCUGCAAACCACGAAGAUGUUCAGUUGAUCAAGGAUUUUAUAUUUCGGCAGUCCGAUGGACUGAGAGGGAAAGGCGGGUAUUCAGGCAAUGCGUCUGCUGGCUCUGUUGCUGGUGUCGGUAUGGUGGCUGCGGCAGCAGCUGCAGCAGCUGCAUCCGCAUCAUCUGGGAAGCCAGUUAGUGUUCCUGAUCUCCCUAGUUUUGAUAAAUGGUUCUCCAUUAGUACAUCUAUUCUAUCUGGACUGAUUAGUGCAAAAGAUGGGAUCGAUAAUUCCGAAAGUAUGAGGGGAUCAUCUACUCAUACAAGUUCUGGUUUGAAGAAUGAACACUCUAGUGCUAUUGAAACUGCUUUAUCUUGCUUGGAAAGCAACAAGGGGCUUAACAUGAAAUUUUCCUCAUCAUGGUGCCAAAAGGUGCUUCCAGUUGCUAAGGAGGUGUACUUGAAAGAUUUGCCUGACUUUUACCCAACUAGCGUGCAUGAAGUGCAGCUACAGAAAGCAUUGAGAUCCUUUCACUCAACAGUCAAAGGACCGGCUGUCAAGGUAUUCUCCAAGAAGCUAGAAGAUGAAUGCAAGACAAUCUGGGAAGCUGGAAGGCAGCAAUGCGAUGCUGUCAGCCUUACUGGCAGGCCAUGCAAGCACCAGCGUCAUGGUAAAUUAUCUUCAUCAGAUGCUGUCGAACAGCAUUCUAGUGGUUACGUCUUCCUCCAUGCAUGUGCCUGUGGACGGUCACGUCGCCUUAGAGAUGAUCCUUUUGACUUUGAGACAGCCAAUGUAUCAUUUAACUGCUUCUCCAAUUGUGAAGAUCUACUACCCACCCUUGUGCUACCGAGGGGGGUUGAUGCUAGUUCAUUUCCGGCAUCCUCUUGGCGUUUGGUGCGCCUUGGAGGAGCAAGAUAUUACAAGCCAACGAAAGGGUUGCUCCAAGCUGGAUUUUGCUCAAAGGACAAGUAUCUUUUGAAGUGGACAAUAUCUCUUGGCAAAGGACAAGGAAAAAAUGGCACCCAUGCUGCCACUAAAUCUUCCUCCAUGACAUCUAAUGUGAACCCCCAGAUUCCACCUGCUGUUUCUAGAGAAGUAAAGUCCAUUACAAACCAAGUCGCACCAGAAAUUAGAUCUGCGAAGCUUGAAAAUCCCAGAAAACAACCUGAAGUGCAAUCAACGAACAGCUCAGCUAUCAGUUUUGGUAAAGGUCAUCCAAAUUUUACUAUGAAAAAGCCUUUCGCUGAAGUUGUUGCUGGCAGCACAACUAAAGAUUCUGAGUUUCCUGCUCUCCAGCUGAAGAGACCACCAAAACCUGCUAGCCGAAAAGAUGAACGGCAAGUGAGCGUAGCAGAACAGACUAAUGGCCGAAUCAAUGCAGCUCUCAGUCAAGGACCUGUAGCUGAAAAUGAAUCUGAGAAGAUGACCAAAAAUAUGAGCAGUGAAACUGCUGAUGGGAAGCCCUUUCUACAGAUCGGGAGCAACAUAGUGCCAGUUACUGUUGGAAAUGAGUGCUCGUACGGUCACCGUUUCUUACUGUCAGAGAAGUAUCUUAAGGAAAUUGAUUAUGAAAGAUCCUAUCAAAACAAUGAAUCAGAAAGUAAGCAUAGUUCACAAAAGUUGCCCCCAAAUGCAUCUAAGUCGGCAGCAACUACAGUAAAUGGAAACAAUGGGCGGAAAGCCAAUAGGCCACUGGAAUCAUCAGGGAGAAAUAGCAGGCAGCAAUUGCUUCAGCCUGGCGUUGAUGGGGAGACGUUGCGGCCUGCUCACAUUCCUUCAGAUCCACGUAAUGUCAGAAAGGGAGAGCAUUCUCUUCAAUACGUUACAGCCGAUGAUGGUGGAGAAGCAUAUUCACUGUUGAACAGAAAUCUGCCGAUAUAUAUGCACUGCCCUCAUUGCAAGAGCUCAGACGGGAAGGGGCAUCAAGAUGUAAAGGCUGCUGGUGCUGUGUCACAACUUCAACGGAUUUUUAUCGUGACACCUGAUUUCCCUGUCCUGUUGGCUAGCUGCCCAGUUGUACAGUUUGAGAGGUCAUGUCUGCCAUCAAAUGUAUCUGACCGUGAUCAACAAGGAUCGUUCAGCCUUGGAUGCCGAGUUCUCCUUCCACCCGAGAGCUUUCUUACCCUGCGGCUUCCAUUCGUAUACGGUGCCGAGACAAGGGACGGAAGCACAUCCCCCCUCAAACACCUCGAGCAGCAACCAGAGCUCACAGCAUGGCUCGUCGGAGGCACAGCUUUGCAGAUCGUGUCAGCCGGGCACGUCGCCGAGAAAGAAGCCAACGUGCCGUGA